rnacentral:lncRNA from 1 species
CUCAUGACUUUAUUUUCUUCCUAUUCAAUCUUAUGCAAUGCAAAGCGGUUGUUAUAAAUCGAGAAUUGAAGAACCAUAAUGGUACUACAGAUGUGGUGCGGGAGAUUUUCUCCCGGUAUAGUUAAUUGGAUUGUUAUUGUUGCCUUGUGGAAGGAUAUUCUAUUUUUUCAGCCCAGUAGCGGUACUUCUGAGGGCUCUAAGGCUAGGA